UGUGUGUGUGUGUGUGUGUGUGUGUGUGCGUGCACGCGUGCGCACAUACACACACACAUAUAUGCAUGUG